UUCUGGGUAAUCGCGGUUUUCUUACGAAAACUGAGGAAAGUCCAUGCUCACACAAGCUGCGAUGCUUGUAGUGUUCGUGCUUAGCGAAACAAUAAGCUAAGGCAAUUUUAAAAAUUGACGGCAGACAAAAAGGCUACGGAUUUAUCUAUGCCUGAGUAAUCUUGAAAGUGCCACAGUGACGAAGUAUCAAGGGAAACUUUGAUAGUGGAACGGGUAAACCCCUCGAGUGAGCAACCCAAACAUUGGUAGGGGCACUCUCUUUAGUAGGAAACGAACGAAAAAGAGAGGCAGUAAUGCAGAUAGAUGAUUACCUCAGCGAAUGAGGCCUGACUUUUUCGCUAGACAGAACAUGGCUUACAG
rnacentral:RNase_P_RNA from 1 species